rnacentral:rRNA from 1 species
CUACGUGCCAGCAGCCGCGGUAAUACGGAGGGUGCAAGCGUUAAUCGGAAUUACUGGGCGUAAAGCGCACGCAGGCGGUUUGUUAAGUCAGAUGUGAAAUCCCCGCGCUUAACGUGGGAACUGCAUUUGAAACUGGCAAGCUAGAGUCUUGUAGAGGGGGGUAGAAUUCCAGGUGUAGCGGUGAAAUGCGUAGAGAUGUGGAGGAAUACCGAUGGCGAAGGCAGCCUCCUGGGAUAACACUGACGUUCAUGCUCGAAAGCGUGGGUAGCAAACAGGAUUAGAUACCCUGGUAGUCCACGCCCUAAACGAUGUCAAUUAGCUGUUGGGCAACUUGAUUGCUUAGUAGCGUAGCUAACGCGUGAAAUUGACCGCCUGGGGAGUACGGUCGCAAGAUUAAAACUCAAAGGAAUUGACGGGGACCCGCACAAGCGGUGGAUGAUGUGGAUUAAUUCGAUGCAACGCGAAGAACCUUACCUGGUCUUGACAU